UGCUUGAGCAGUACAUUAAAAUUGGAACAAUACAGAGAUUAGCAUGGACCCUGUGCAAGAAUAACAUGCAAAUUCAUGAAGUGUUCCAUAAUUUA
ensembl:snRNA U6 U6 spliceosomal RNA